AGUGAACGCUGGCGGUAGGCCUAACACAUGCAAGUCGAACGGCAGCACAGGAGAGCUUGCUCUCUGGGUGGCGAGUGGCGGACGGGUGAGGAAUACAUCGGAAUCUACUCUGUCGUGGGGGAUAACGUAGGGAAACUUACGCUAAUACCGCAUACGACCUACGGGUGAACGCAGGGGAUCUUCGGACCUUGCGCGAUCGAAUGAGCCGAUGUCGGAUUAGGUAGUUGGCGGGGUAAAGGCCCACCAAGGCGACGAUCCGUAGCUGGUCUGAGAGGAUGAUCAGCCACACUGGAACUGAGACACGGUCCAGACUCCUACGGGAGGCAGCAGUGGGGAAUAUUGGACAAUGGGCGCAAGCCUGAUCCAGCCAUACCGCGUGGGUGAAGAAGGCCUUCGGGUUGUAAAGCCCUUUUGUUGGGAAAGAAAUCCAGCUGGCUAAUACCCGGUUGGGAUGACGGUACCCAAAGAAUAAGCACCGGCUAACUUCGUGCCAGCCGCCGCCGUAA
rnacentral:rRNA from 1 species